GAAGAAGAUGAGCAACUCAUGUCGACACAUGACUGUUUCUAGGAUGAAGCGGUUCUUGGGCCUCUUUGACGUUUUUAAGUGCUUGUAGGCUGCGACGUAAGUCGAGCACUUCCAAGAACUUCUUGAUUGUUAUUUAUGGAUUCCUCAUGAAAUUCGGGUGUGUUGGCUUGAAUGGACCAAGUGUCGGUGUCACUGGAAAAACUCUGAUGGUGUCUGAUGAAUGGCACAGAGGAUUGGCCAUAGAUGUGCCUUGCUGCUUUUCGAAAAUGCAUUGGAGUCUGAAAUCCCCACACCUUCCACUACCUAAUUAAAGCUGAGGCAGUUGAGUAUUUCUUUUCUUUAUCUUUUCUUAUUAUUUUUCUUUGUUUUUGUUUUUUUCUAUGUUGUGGCCU